rfam:Acetobacterium woodii DSM 1030, complete genome.
GGUCGCAUAGCUCAGCUGGGAGAGCACCUGCCUUACAAGCAGGGGGUCACAGGUUCGAGCCCUGUUGCGACCA